rnacentral:rRNA from 1 species
UGCGCAGGCGGGCUUGUAAGUCAGUGGUGAAAUACUGCCGCUUAACGGUAGAACUGCCAUUGAUACUGCGAGUCUUGAAUAUGGUUGAGGUAGGCGGAAUGUGUUGUGUAGCGGUGAAAUGCAUAGGUAUGACACAGAACGCCGAUUGCGAAGGCAGCUUACUAAGCCAUUAUUGACGCUGAGGCACGAAAGCGUGGGGAGCGAACAGGAUUAGAUACCCUGGUAGUCC